CUGGCGGCGUGCCUAACACAUGCAAGUCGAACGAAGCACUGUGGAAAGAGACUCGGUCAAUUGAAACUUGACUUAGUGGCGGACGGGUGAGUAAUGCAUGAGCAACCUGCCCUGGAGAGGGGGACGAACAGCUGGAAACGGCUGCUAAUACCGCAUGAUGUCAUCGGGAGGCAUCUCCUGGUGACCAAAGAUUUAUCGCUCUGGGAUGGGCUCAUGUCUGAUUAGAUAGUUGGCGGGGUAACGGCCCACCAAGUCUGCGAUCAGUAGCCGGACUGAGAGGUUGAACGGCCACAUUGGGACUGAGAUACGGCCCAGACUCCUACGGGAGGCAGCAGUGGGGAAUAUUGGGCAAUGGGCGCAAGCCUGACCCAGCAACGCCGCGUGAAGGAAGAAGGCUUUCGGGUUGUAAACUUCUUUUAUCAGGGACGAAGAAAGUGACGGUACCUGAUGAAUAAGCCACGGCUAACUACGUGCCAGCCGCAGC
rnacentral:rRNA from 1 species